GACGAACGCUGGCGGCGUGCUUAACACAUGCAAGUCGAACGGAAAGGCCCUGCUUUUGUGGGGUGCUCGAGUGGCGAACGGGUGAGUAACACGUGAGUAACCUGCCCUUGACUUUGGGAUAACUUCAGGAAACUGGGGCUAAUACCGGAUAGGAGCUCCUGCUGCAUGGUGGGGGUUGGAGAGUUUCGGCGGUUGGGGAUGGACUCGCGGCUUAUCAGCUUGUUGGUGGGGUAGUGGCUUACCAAGGCUUUGACGGGUAGCCGGCCUGAGAGGGUGACCGGCCACAUUGGGACUGAGAUACGGCCCAGACUCCUACGGGAGGCAGCAGUGGGGAAUAUUGCACAAUGGGCGGAAGCCUGAUGCAGCAACGCCGCGUGCGGGAUGACGGCCUUCGGGUUGUAAACCGCUUUCGCCUGUGACGAAGCGUGAGUGACGGUAAUGGGUAAAGAAGCACCGGCUAACUACGUGCCAGCAGCCGCGGUGAUACGUAGGGUGCGAGCGUUGUCCGGAUUUAUUGGGCGUAAAGGGCUCGUAGGUGGUUGAUCGCGUCGGAAGUGUAAUCUUGGGGCUUAACCCUGAGCGUGCUUUCGAUACGGGUUGACUUGAGGAAGGUAGGGGAGAAUGGAAUUCCUGGUGGAGCGGUGGAAUGCGCAGAUAUCAGGAGGAACACCAGUGGCGAAGGCGGUUCUCUGGGCCUUUCCUGACGCUGAGGAGCGAAAGCGUGGGGAGCGAACAGGCUUAGAUACCCUGGUAGUCCACGCUGUAAACGGUGGGUACUAGGUGUGGGGUCCAUUCCACGGGUUCCGUGCCGUAGCUAACGCUUUAAGUACCCCGCCUGGGGAGUACGGCCGCAAGGCUAAAACUCAAAGGAAUUGACGGGGCCCCGCACAAGCGGCGGAGCAUGCGGAUUAAUUCGAUGCAACGCGUAGAACCUUACCUGGGUUUGACAUGGAUCGGGAGUGCUCAGAGAUGGGUGUGCCUCUUUUGGGGUCGGUUCACAGGUGGUGCAUGCCUGUCGUCAGCUCGUGUCGUGAGAUGUUGGGUUAAGUCCCGCAACGAGCGCAACCCUUGUUCACUGUUGCCAGCACGUUAUGGUGGGGACUCAGUGGAGACCGCCGGGGUCAACUCGGAGGAAGGUGGGGAUGACGUCAAGUCAUCAUGCCCCUUAUGUCCAGGGCUUCACGCAUGCUACAAUGGCUGGUACAGAGAGUGGCGAGCCUGUGAGGGUGAGCGAAUCUCGGAAAGCCGGUCUCAGUUCGGAUUGGGGUCUGCAACUCGACCUCAUGAAGUCGGAGUCGCUAGUAAUCGCAGAUCAGCAACGCUGCGGUGAAUACGUUCCCGGGGCU
rnacentral:rRNA from 1 species